GGAGAGGUGUCCGAGUGGUUUAAGGAGGCGGUCUUGAAAACCGUUGAACAGCAAUGUUCCGUGGGUUCGAAUCCCACCUUCUCCG
rnacentral:tRNA from 1 species